rnacentral:lncRNA from 1 species
CGUGAUUUAAACUGCCAUUACUGCAAAUGAAUUGCGACAAGGAGAUGCUCUUGACUUCUCAGCGAGAUGCGACGAUUCUGUUCCAGGCCGUAAUGGAUUUUGAAGCAAACUGGUCAUCUGAUGAUUCAAGUGACCCUGAGGAGAAUGGGAAGGGGGGAAGGAGAUCUCGCCGGUUCCAAUUUAUUAACUGCAGUGUGCAGAUAUUGUAAAAUAAAAAAUCAUUUUGAAUG